AUUCUAUCAUCAGAGCUGUUGGAGAAGAAUAAGUGGAGAUUUCAUGAUGUCCUUCUGGGGAAUUUUUAUCUUAAAGCAUUUGUUCCAAACCAGGACAAGAGGGGGUUUGCUUUUUCACUGUGCCUAUAGUCUUUCUUACCUGAAUAAAAUUGUCGAAAUCUGUGCCUCAUUACAUGCAAUACAUAGCAUGGAACAGGAAAAAAAAAUCCCAUUUGGUAAGACAGAAAUCAUGCUAACAAAUUUAUUUUUAACUUUCCAAAGAAAUACAUAAUUCCCUUUGGAAGCAAAGCUUGAUAAUAGAAAUGUAAACAUUUUACAGAAUGUUACUUUAAAUUAAGAAUGUAAAAAACAGUAGUCUAAAUACGGUAUAAACUAGUAUUAGAGCCUUCACAUUUCAACUUAACUCCCCUUUAACCUUCAAUAUAUUUCCAUUUUUGGUCAGAUUUAGUCAAGCAAGUAUUGAUGUCUUCCCUUUUCCUUUCUCAGAUUUUUUUUUCCCAUUGUAUAGCCAGCAGGUAAGAAUUUGCCAGCACAAAUGUUAAUUCCUUUUUUUCACUCCCAUCCGCUGACAGCCUUUUUGCAUUCUCUUCUCUUUCCUCUUUCCAAAUUGUCCCCAUCUGCCUCCCGCUGUAUCUGCUUUGAAGCUCCACACAAAAAUGUUGUUGAUUCCAAGGAUGAGAUUUGUCUUUAUUUUAGGACUUUUAAUACCCACGAAUGGAGAAGAAGGUACCAAUGACGAGGCUUCCCCAGUUGGGAAGUUUAAAGAAAAGAGGGUAAACUGGGCAGAGUGGAUAGGCUCUGAGGAUGUUGCUUUUUCCCCUCUGUCCUGGCUUUGCCUAGAGACAGCCCUGCCCAGGGAACAGUCCCACCGCCCAUUUCCCCAAAGCUCCUUUUUCUCUUCUGCUUAGGUAGCGGUUGCCUGACUUCUCCCUGCAAAGGGAGUCUGCUAGUGUGGCCAGUGCUGCUCCCAGAUGUCCUUGCUUCCCUCUCCUCACUGGUUUCCAUUUGAUCCCUGAACUGUCAGAUUCCUCUCCCACAUCCCUUGGUUCUCAGAUCCUGCACUGACCACAGCCCUGCUUAGCCACCAGUUCAGAGUUGGGAAGUAUAGCCCCGGCCUCUCCAUGUCAUCCUUCCUUAGCCUUUUCCUGGUGCUGGGAAAACACUCCAUACUUAGAUGCCACUCCCGCUAGCGAAACCACACUCGGAAUAGUCAGAGAAGCUACCUGAUUCCCACUUAAGUGUCGAUGAAAUUUAGAGACUCAUUAGGAGGCCUCUGGAUCACCGGUGCUGGAGGCAGAGACAGAGAGAAGUCAAGUGAACAACCGGAAGCUGCUCCGCUGGUAAUGGCGGGCUUCAGGUUCCUCUGCCUCGGGUCUUGUCCACCCUCACUAUGAUCUUCCCCUUUCCUUGCUUCUUUCCGACUUGUUAAGGAGUCUUCUAGUGGAGGUCAUUUGUUCACAGUCGUUAUUUCUAAGUGGCUGGGGAAGAAGAGAAAAAGAAACAAACCAACUAAACACACAUAUUUCUGAAUCUCCUGAAUUUUUUAGCCAAGCUUAUAAAAAAAACUAACUGCAACAUGAAUGAAAAAUCAACUUUGCAGAAAGUUGUGAGUACAUCUAUCAUAUUUCAUUUUAACAUUUAAAUUCUUUUGUACACACUUUAUGCUUUCUUUUUACAGCAAUAAAAUUACAGCAAAACUGAGGACCUGCUGUGCUAUGAAACAACAGCAUAAAGUGCUUUUCUGGUGGCCACUUAGCUACGUGAAGGGCCCAGGUUAACUAAAGUUAGGGAAAACGGAAAUGCUGACAUUUCUUUAAACAAUAAAAAUUACAAGUGAUUGCCAGAGUGCCAUGAGUUGACAUUUACAGAGAUUGUUCUUCGAUUAUAUAUAUGAAAUAUCAUAAGUAAUUAGCUUGUGGUAAUUACCUGCCCCUCAUUAUUUUGCUUUUAGAAUAUUUUUAAAGCUUAGGUUACUAAAAUUUCAAAUAAUCCUGGGCCGUGCUGUCAUGGGUCUUUAUCCAAAUGAAUCGUGGUCUCUUGUAAACAGUCCUGUGAUCUGAUUUCCAUUGGGACAGAAGUUGUAAAAGGCCAGGGAUUUUCAAUGGAUUUACACAUAUACUGUUUCAGUUAAGUUACCAAGGUCGACUUAACAGACAUUUUCCUCAGAAUCCUAAAUACACUUGCCACCCAGUCUCCUUCUGCCGCUCUGGAAGGAAUGGGUGGUGAGAUGAAAGAGGCUGUGGGUGCAGGCGGGGAGGCAGCCCGGCCUCAGUGACAUUUCCAACAUGAUUUCCUUCUGUAGUUGGUACUGUCAGCUAACUAGCUUGGUGGCAUUUGUUGCUGAAAAGCUGACUCAGAAAGAUAGGUGAACGUAGAGGCAGGGGCUGGAGUGCUCUUCUUUUGGAAAGUUAUGUUCCGCUGAAGCCAUUUUGUGAGGAACAGAUGCCUACGAAGAAAGCUGGCAACUGGAAUUUGGUUGUCCACGAAGGCACUGAAGCAGCGCAGCCUUGAUCCUCAAUCUUGGUUCCCCUCCCCUGCCCUUCAGCACAAAAGGAGAGGAGCUGGCUUUCUCGAGACUCGCUCAGUCCAGGCUGGAACUAUUACAAACAAAUAUUAAUAACACUCCAUUACUCUGGCUACAUUUUCAAUAAAGUUUAAAUAGUCUGAGUUAUGAUGAUUAGCGAGAAAUGUACGGAUAAUAAAGGUAAAUGAGAUUCAUAUUUAAUCCCCAACUCC
rnacentral:lncRNA from 1 species